CUACGGGAGGCAGCAGUGGGGAAUAUUGGACAAUGGGGGCAACCCUGAUCCAGCAAUGCCGCGUGUGUGAAGAAGGCCUCCGGGUUGUAAAGCACUUUCAGUAGGGAAGAAAUGCCUGGGGUUAAUAACUCCGGGUCUUGACGUCACCUACAGAAGAAGCACCGGCUAACUCCGUGCCAGCAGCCGCGGUAAUACGGAGGGUGCGAGCGUUAAUCGGAAUUACUGGGCGUAAAGCGCGCGUAGGCGGCUUGGUCAGUCGGAUGUGAAAGCCCCGGGCUUAACCUGGGAAUUGCAUUCGAUACUGCCGAGCUAGAGUAUUGGAGAGGGAAGUGGAAUUUCCGGUGUAGCGGUGAAAUGCGUAGAUAUCGGAAGGAACACCAGUGGCGAAGGCGACUUCCUGGCCCAAUACUGACGCUCAGGUGCGAAAGCGUGGGUAGCGAACAGGAUUAGAUACCCUGGUAGUCC
rnacentral:rRNA from 1 species